rnacentral:rRNA from 1 species
CCUACGGGUGGCAGCAGUGAGGAAUAUUGGUCAAUGGGCGGAAGCCUGAACCAGCCAAGUCGCGUGAGGGAAUAAGGCCCUACGGGUCGUAAACCUCUUUUGCCGGGGAGCAAGGGCGGGGACGUGUCCUAUUUUGUAUGUACCUUAUGAAUAAGGAUCGGCUAACUCCGUCCCAGCAGCCGCGGUAAUACGGAGGAUCCGAGCGUUAUCCGGAUUUAUUGGGUUUAAAGGGUGCGUAGGCGGCCUUUUAAGUCAGCGGUGAAAGUCUGUGGCUCAACCAUAGAAUUGCCGUUGAAACUGGGGGGCUUGAGUAUGUUUGAGGCAGGCGGAAUGCGUGGUGUAGCGGUGAAAUGCUUAGAUAUCACGCAGAACCCCGAUUGCGAAGGCAGCCGGCCAAGCCAUGACUGACGCUGAUGCACGAAAGCGUGGGGAUCAAACAGGAUUAGAUACCCUAGUAGUC